rnacentral:piRNA from 1 species
UGAGCAGGUAGCCAUGAUGGUCCCCAUAGCU